rnacentral:lncRNA from 1 species
AUGGUGGGAAGAGGCCUGGUGUGGUGGGGGAGGCCAGCAGUGGUGGAGAGCGGGGAGAGAGUGGGCAGGUGUCAGCACAGCCAGGCCCGACUUCCUUGGUCUAGAAAGAUACUGGACUUGGGAACUGUCCUGAAGCCAAUGGCAGUCCCUAAGGGUUUUCAGCAAAGGAGGCGGGGUCCGAUCUCCAGAGAGUGUGGGCUGGGGUCUAUGGCCCUCAGCAGAGCCGUCUCAGGAGUCACCUUUUGCCCUCUCCUACUCCUUCCCUGUGCGCAGCCCUGGUGCCCAGGGAGCAGUUUGUUUGUGUGGCACGCCCCAGGAGGGAGGGGGCCAGUCCCAGUCCCUCCAGCUCCCUCUCUCUGGGCCGAGGUGCCUCUCAGCCUUGUUGACGAAGAUCACCCCUUGGGGCCAGGUUCUCCUGACCUCCCCAAAGAGCCAGAGGGCAAGAGGCAGGGCUUUGGCACCAGGCUGCCCUAUGUUCACAUCCCAGCUCUGCAGUUCAUGAGGUGGGUGACCUCUGGGAAGGCACACCCGUCUCUGAACCUCAAUGUCCUUGUCUAUAAAAUGGGAUUGAUGUUAUCUCUCUAUGGGAAAGAGAAAAUGCAAUUCCAAAUGGAAAUUGCAAAGCCCUAUCUCAACUUCAGUUGGCAUUUUUAUUCUAUCACUGACACCUACUCUGGGCUAGGCCCACGGCUGGCUGGGGGUGGGGGCAGGGCUGGUUUCCUGAGUCUGUGGUUGCACAGGAGCCUGCACAUAGAAGGCCCCACACUUGGUUUAACGUUCUGCUGUCACCAUCUUGAAAUUCUCAAAGAUUUUGAACAAGGGGUCCUGCAUUUUCAUUUCGCAGAGGGCCCUGAAUAUUAUAUAGUCCUGCAAAUUGGGCAGGGAUGGCAAGAGCCAGGGAGGGACACAGACCUGCAAAUAGUUCCCAGGUGGAGGAGGUGGAAGGUGGAGGGCAUGACUAACUGUCCCAAGGUGGGUGGGAUGUUAAUAAUAGUAACAUUUAUUUAG